UAAGGGCUUAGUUUAAAUAAAACAUUUAGCUUCGAACUAAAAACUCCUCGCCUUAAUCCAGGAGCCCAUAA
rnacentral:tRNA from 1 species